UAGCGCAUGGUCUUGGGAACGGGAAAGCAGCGUUAUUUGCUGGCAGCCCGUGUAACAAGAUGACGAGGAUGGAGGUUGUCGAUGUAUCAGCGGAUGCCUCCCGGUGGGAUGCCCCAUCGUCAGCAGCUGUCAAAGCCACCAGGUGACUGAGGGUACAAAGCAGCGGGC
rnacentral:ncRNA from 1 species